GAUCCAACCUGUGUUCCAGUGCUCCCAAGAUGCUGCUGAUCCCAUUGCCCCAAAGUGGAAACUCCUGGAAUUCUUUGUCUAUAACUCAUUUAAUAAAUUUAAGAGCAUGCAUCAGUGAUCUUCAUCCUCAUAGAAAGUGAACAGCACCCAUUUUAUUUCCUUCACCCAGCCCCACACAGAAAUAGGAUGCCCUUUAAGAUUUUAUCUCCAGCUUUUCUUCAAUUUUAAAGAUAUUUUCCUGGGCCUAGGCUUUUUAAUUUUUCUGAAGCAAAAAUGAAUAAAUACUGUGUCUAUGGUGGAUAAAAAAAGAUAAGUAAUCUUACUAGUUUGCCAAAUAUACACUUCCAAAAAAAAAAAAGGAGGCAUUUACUGUCUUAAGUCAGGCUAAAAAUAAUAUUAUUUUAGGGUGUAUAGGUAAUUGAAGAAAUCAAGUUUUCCCUUCACUUACUAUCUGGAUAAUUGCCUAAUUUUCCCACUGUCAUCAUCCUGUCCUGCUAGUGUUGCUUUAUACACAACCUGGUCUUCCCUUUUGUUGUAUUUAUUUUUUCUUUAAGACACCCUUCAAAUAUUAAAGAAAAAGAGAGAGGCUAUACAAUUUGCAUCAUGACUUAAAACUAUUAGAAGAUAGGAAUUCAGUAGUUGAGACAAUGCGUUUCAAAACUCCAAAAGAUAACAGGUUUAAAGAAAUUGGCAUAUGUUAGUGAUUAUGCAAUCAUUCAUUUCCCACAGAUUUCUUUUUAUAGGAAACUUUGGAAAAUCCCAGAAGAACUGACCGAGUCAUUUCAACCACAACAGGUUUCUUUCAACAUCAAAAUCAUGGGUAGGAGUGGGCGAGGAAUAAUUUUCUUUCUUUUUUUUUUAAAGGCAUGGACAGCCUGGUUCUGAGUGUGCAAAGCUGUGGCUUCCCCUCCUAUAGACGCCUUCUGAACAGCAAAUCUGACUUCCUCCUCAGACCAAGGCAUCCUGAAAACAUCCAAGCAGAGGAAGCAUUUUUUCACCAUGACAUGGGAAAGGGCCACAGAGAUCCAAAUGGAAACGGACAUUUCAUGCCUCCCAGUGCAAGCCCUGGCCCUGCCUUAAAGCCUCCGAGACAAAAACAACAAAACGCAGUGUGGAGAGAAAUGAAAAAGGCUGUAAUACUAUUUAAAGAAUGGAUUAAGUACAAUUUUCAGACGCUGGAUUUAUUCUCCUAUUGGAAUGUUAAAUUAGACAACAGAGAAGGAAAACUCACCUUGUUUGAAACAUUCAGAUGUUUCCCUAACAGUCAUUUCCAUUUGUAUUCCCAGCAGUCUGUUCCUGUACGUCGCUGA
rnacentral:lncRNA from 1 species